AGCUAUUUCUAUGCAGAUUUAUAAGUUUGAGGAUUAAAUGUUGCUUAAGAUAUUGUUAUGAUUCCUAACGUUGUUAUCUUCUGCACACUACCAUAAUGUUUGUAUCGGAUUGGUCAUUGUACUAGUCACCCUACCCAAACCUCUCCAUCCAAAGGAACAUGAUGCCCAUAAUCACCAUGUUACUUCCCAAGAGCAAAGUCCUGCAGUAAUGACUACCCAGUAAAGCCUGAAAAGUACCAGAUCAGCAACCGAGGGGAAAAGUGACUUAGAGAUUCCCAAUGACGUACAAUCUGCUGGUGUCCCUGCAAAAUGAAAAGCCAUUACUGGAAGAACAUGGAACCAACCAUAGGGCCUCUCCAGCCUUGUUGGGACUUUAUGAAUACAAUAUAUAUAUAGCCAUGUAACAUCAGCAAUUCAUCUAGGUGCUAACCUAGAUGCAUCACUUUCCAUUUUUUACCUUCAAUUGAAAAAACUAGCACUUUUGUAAUAAAUA